UUUUUUUUUUUUUUUUUUUUUUGAUAGCUCGCGCUUAUUCCAUAUUAAAUUAAAAGGGUCAAAAAAAA
rnacentral:ribozyme from 1 species